AAGGGUAAUUCCAUGCACACACACUAUUCAAGAUCAAAGGCCAAAGACACAACCAGAGACUGGAGAAGAAGAAUCAGGAGGCAGCCAAGCUAAUGGUGUGGGGGUGGGGAGGGGCUGUUGGUUGGGAGCGGUGGCUGGCAAAAGCAGCUUUGGGCUCCACACCAGUGCUUCUUCUGCUAAUCUUAAGACUUAAACCCAGCACUGAUUGUGAUGCUUAAGACCUAAAAACACUUCAUUGCCAGCCUUGAAGGAAAUCAGACAAUGAGACCAGAAAACAUGAAAUAGAUGUUUCUUCUCCUAAGUAUCCAUAGGAAUUUGCCUCACAGCCCUCAAAUACCAAAUGUCAUAAGGAAGAAUUAGAACCAAUAGGAGGAACCACAAGAAAGAGGCCUCUAUGGAAGAAAUGGAGGUGAGAAUUGAGGGGAGAGGGAGAGAGAGUAUGGAUGAGGUCAAUGUGAAUUUUAGAGUCCAGGGAGAUUUUUUUUUUUCUGUAGUGAUUUCUGAAAAUGAUGUGUGAAGUUUUAUUACAUUUAUGCAAAUCAGCUCUGGAGAUUAAAAAUGUUGGAUGUGACUAAUCAUACUGGCUGUUUUCAGAACAACUUGUUAUAUAGUUGAAUUUUUUUUUUCUUUUUUAACUUUCCAUAACAGAAUUUGAAAUCCCCAGAGCCCAUUAGAAUUACUUCAGAGAACCAUCAAAUAACAAUGUUAUAAUCAAUCAAUCAACAAACAUUUAUUAAGCACCUACUAUGUGCUUGGGGGUACAAAGAGAGGCAAAAGAUAGUCCCUGCUCUCAAGGAGCUUGAUAUGAUGGGGGAGACAACACAUAAAAAGGAUGUAUCAAGGGGGAAGAUAGCUGGCAUGGAGGCAUGAUGAAGUUCAGAGGAUUGUAGCUGGGUAGAAAAUAAAGAAAUAGCUGCCCUAGGUGCCCUCCUUAAA
rnacentral:lncRNA from 1 species